ACGGAAGGCAGCAGUGGGGAAUAUUGCACAAUGGGGGAAACCCUGAUGCAGCGAUGCCGCGUGGAGGAAGAAGGUUUUCGGAUUGUAAACUCCUGUCUUAAAGGACGAUAAUGACGGUACUUUAGGAGGAAGCUCCGGCUAACUACGUGCCAGCAGCCGCGGUAAUACGUAGGGAGCGAGCGUUGUCCGGAAUUACUGGGUGUAAAGGGAGCGUAGGCGGGACUGCAAGUCAGAUGUGAAAUGCCGGGGCCUAACCCCGGAGCUGCAUUUGAAACUGUGGUUCUUGAGUGAAGUAGAGGCAAGCGGAAUUCCUGGUGUAGCGGUGAAAUGCGUAGAUAUCAGGAGGAACACCGGUGGCGAAGGCGGCUUGCUGGGCUUUUACUGACGCUGAGGCUCGAAAGCGUGGGUAGCAAACAGGAUUAGAUACCCUGGUA
rnacentral:rRNA from 1 species